rnacentral:rRNA from 1 species
CGAAGGCAGCCAUCUGGCCUAAUACUGACGCUGAGGUACGAAAGCAUGGGGAGCAAACAGGAUUAGAUACCCUGGUAGUCCAUGCCGUAAACGAUGUCUACUAGCCGUUGGGGCCUUUGAGGCUUUAGUGGCGCAGCUAACGCGAUAAGUAGACCGCCUGGGGAGUACGGUCGCAAGACUAAAACUCAAAUGAAUUGACGGGGGCCCGCACAAGCGGUGGAGCAUGUGGUUUAAUUCGAUGCAACGCGAAGAACCUUACCUGGCCUUGACAUACUAAGAACUUUCCAGAGAUGGAUUGGUGCCUUCGGGAACUUAGAUACAGGUGCUGCAUGGCUGUCGUCAGCUCGUGUCGUGAGAUGUUGGGUUAAGUCCCGCAACGAGCGCAACCCUUUUCCUUAUUUGCCAGCGGGUCAUGCCGGGAACUUUAAGGAUACUGCCAGUGACAAACUGGAGGAAGGCGGGGACGACGUCAAGUCAUCAUGGCCCUUACGGCCAGGGCUACACACGUGCUACAAUGGUCGGUACAAAGGGUUGCUACCUCGCGAGAGGAUGCUAAUCUCAAAAAGCCGAUCGUAGUCCGGAUCGCAGUCUGCAACUCGACUGCGUGAAGUCGGAAUCGCUAGUAAUCGCGGAUCAGAAUGCCGCGGUGAAUACGUUCCCGGGCCUUGUACACACCGCCCGUCACACCAUGGGAGUUUGUUGCACCAGAAGUAGGUAGUCUAACCGCAAGGAGGACGCUUACCA